CAUGCAAGUCGAGCGGACAGAUGGGAGCUUGCUCCCUGAUGUUAGCGGCGGACGGGUGAGUAACACGUGGGUAACCUGCCUGUAAGACUGGGAUAACUCCGGGAAACCGGGGCUAAUACCGGAUGGUUGUUUGAACCGCAUGGUUCAAACAUAAAAGGUGGCUUCGGCUACCACUUACAGAUGGACCCGCGGCGCAUUAGCUAGUUGGUGAGGUAACGGCUCACCAAGGCAACGAUGCGUAGCCGACCUGAGAGGGUGAUCGGCCACACUGGGACUGAGACACGGCCCAGACUCCUACGGGAGGCAGCAGUAGGGAAUCUUCCGCAAUGGACGAAAGUCUGACGGAGCAACGCCGCGUGAGUGAUGAAGGUUUUCGGAUCGUAAAGCUCUGUUGUUAGGGAAGAACAAGUACCGUUCGAAUAGGGCGGUACCUUGACGGUACCUAACCAGAAAGCCACGGCUAACUACGUGCCAGCAGCCGCGGUAAUACGUAGGUGGCAAGCGUUGUCCGGAAUUAUUGGGCGUAAAGGGCUCGCAGGCGGUUUCUUAAGUCUGAUGU
rnacentral:rRNA from 1 species